rnacentral:rRNA from 1 species
UACAGAGGUCCCAAGCGUUGUUCGGAUUCACUGGGCGUAAAGGGUGCGUAGGUGGCGAGGUAAGUCGGAUGUGAAAGCUCGGAGCUCAACUCCGAAAUGGCAUUGGAAACUACCUUGCUCGAGGGUUGGAAGGGGGACUGGAAUGCUUGGUGUAGCAGUGAAAUGCGUAGAUAUCUGGAGGAACACCGGUGGCGAAGGCGGCAUCCUGGACCGGCAUUGACGCUGAGGCGCGAAAGCUAGGGGAGCAAACGGG